AGUCCGCUGCGCGCCGCGCCGGGGCCGCCGCGCUCGCCGCCUCCAGCAUGCUCCAAAGAUGGCGGUAGCGGCGGCGGCGGGCGGCGGCGGGCGGGCGCAGCGCAGCGGCUGGCUGGAAGUUUUGGUGCGGGAGCGCUGGCACAAAGUGCUGGCCAACUUGGGCGGCGAGGCGCUGGUGCUGAGCGGCGAGGAGCGCCCCGACGGCGCGGCGCACAACGGCCUGGGCGGCGAUGGGGCGGCGGCGAGCCGCGGGGCCGAGGGCGGCGGCGCCUCGGUGCGCACCGCCUUCACCGACCCCCCCGAGCAGGUGCCCGAGGCCGUCUCCAACAAGAAGCGGUGCGUGAAGGUGCUGAAGCAGGAGCUGGGCGGGCUGGGCAUCAGCAUCAAGGGGGGCAAGGAGAACAAGAUGCCCAUCCUCAUCAGCAAGAUCUUCAAGGGGCUGGCGGCCGACCAGACCCAGGCCCUCUACGUGGGGGAUGCCAUCCUGGCCGUCAACGGCACCGACCUGCGCGAUGCCACCCACGACGAGGCGGUGCAGGCGCUCAAGCGGGCCGGCAAGGAGGUGCUGCUGGAAGUGAAAUAUAUGAGAGAAGCAACACCCUAUGUGAAGAAGGGUUCCCCUGUUUCAGAAAUUGGAUGGGAAACACCUCCCCCCGAAUCUCCUCGACUGGGCUGUGCAUCUUCUGACCCUCUGUCGCAGCUCUCUCUCUCCAUCCACAGAGACAGAAAAACAAUCCCACUCAAGAUGUGCUACGUGACACGCAACAUGACGCUGUCAGACCCUGAGAACAGACUUAUUGAAGUUCAUUCACCUGAUGCCAAGCACACCGUGAUUCUAAGGAGUAAGGAUUCGGCUACAGCCCAGGCCUGGUUCAAUGCCAUCCACUCCAGUGUCAAUGAUCUCAUCCCCAGGGUGAUUGCAGAGGUCAGAGACCAGCUGGGUAAAACAGGGAUUGCUGGAAGUCGAGAGAUUAGGCAUCUAGGCUGGCUUGCAGAAAAGGUGCCAGGAGACAACGAGAAGCACUGGAAGCCAGUGCUAGUUGUCUUGACUGAGAAAGACCUUUUAAUAUAUGAGAGCAUGCCGCGAAUGAAGGAAGCUUGGUUCAACCCUCUGCACACCUACCCCUUGCUAGCAACCAGGUUGGUCCAUUCUGGCCCAGGAAAAGGCUCGCCGCAGUCCGGGGUGGAUUUGUCUUUUGCAACUCGUACUGGUACAAGGCAAGGGAUUGAAACCCACCUUUUCCGGACAGAGACUAGCAGAGACCUCUCCCUGUGGACAAGGAGUGUUGUACAGGGCUGUCACAAUUCUGCAGAGCUCAUCACAGAAAUCACAACAUCUUGCACAUAUAAAAGCCAGGAGUGCCGUUUGACCAUCCAUUAUGAACACGGAUUCUCUCUUACAACUGAACCACAAGAUGGUGCCUUCUCUAAGACAAUUGCACAAUACCCCUACGAAAAACUAAAAAUGUCCUCAGAUGAUGGGAUUAGGAUGCUUUAUUUAGAUUUUGGAGGAAAGGAUGGAGAAAUUCAACUGGAUCUUCAUUCCUGCCCAAAGCCAAUUGUGUUCAUCAUUCAUUCCUUCCUGUCAGCUAAGAUUACAAGACUUGGUUUGGUGGCAUAAGUGGGAUACACCUGUUUCCUCUAAGAAAAAUGGAGCAACCAUGCUAAUCGGAAGUACAGUCACCAUGAGAAACCUGUAACAGCCAGCAGCAUGCACAAGACUGGAGUUCAGUACUGGGCUGUGGUAAUUCCUGGCAAUCUUCCAAGGCCCAGCUUUCAUUUUGAUCAGCUAAAGAGAUGAUGUCAAAAGGAAAACAAUGAAUUUCAUUGUAAAUAACAGGAUUUUUAAAUCACAUACUGGACAGCAGACGAGUGUAGUACUUACUGUAUGUGUAAAAGUUUCAGAAUCAUAAAUUGUGCCUAUUUCAAUGUAUUUGUUUAUAUAGAAUAAGUAAAGGGCUAAGAAGAUAUGAGUGGGCACUUGAUUGUAAUGCAAGAUCAAGGUUGCUUGAGAAGUUCUGUAAACAAGGUUGUCCCACCACCAAAAACUCAUGUAUAUUUUUCUGCUCUAACCUGUGCAUCAUUUAAUUUAAUUUUUUUUUUUUUUUGGGGGGGGGAGCUAUCAGAACCUGUUGCUUGAAUACCCAGCAGAGCAUGCAAAUAUGCAUCUUUGAAUAGGAUGCUCUAAAGCAAUACAGACGCGGUCAGUGAAGAGCUGUGGCAGGGGGGCCCUGCUGAGGGGCACAGCGCUCUCAAAUUAAAUGAUAGGAUAUCUUGGGCACAUUCCUGGAGAUGGACCCAAAACAAAAGGUGUAGGAAUGUAGCGAGAGCGCGUCUGUCACUGAGAACGGAGCCCCACAGGAUAGGGUAGGUGCAGCUUUCAUUAAUGAGCACACAGGACAUAUUUUUCGUAGUCCCUUUCCAGAAGGGUUCAGAUGACUUUGAGCGUCAGCUACCCAGGAUCGCAGGCUCAGUUAAAAGUUAGCUGAAUCAUUUUGCAAUGUGACUUAAGCUUCUAACAGCACAUUUCCACUUCAGUAUUUUCCAAGAGAAAGUCAGGCUAAGAGCUUCCCGUCCUCCUGCCCUCACCCCGCUCCAUCAGCUCUGCUGAGACUGCUUGCAGAUUUAACUGUUAAUCAAACGAUCUUGACUGAAGAACAAAUAUGGGGAAUGAGUAAGACUUGGUUUUUUAAAGUGUUCUAAAUUAAAACAGAGAAGUUACUCGAGCAGCUCCACAACACUGAGGAAAUGCACAGGGGCAGGUACACGAGCUUUACUGCCAGAAAAGCCUUAAUAUGAAACUGUGCCUGCAGUGACUUGGAGCUUAGACCUUUUUCCUGCUGCUAAAUCAGCUACAUUAAGGAACUCUUUAAAAAAGAUUUUUUUUUUUUUUUUAACGCUUAAGUUAAUUUUAAGUGCAUUUGGGUGUGACUCUAGAUGCAUUCCUUGCUGGUAAAAUUUAUUUAAGCUGUUGAUCCAUGUACCCAUAACUUACUAUUUCCUAUUUUGUCCCACGCUGUACUGUUUUGAGUCAAUACAUAGGAAUCACUAAGUCAGCCUGGUUCACGGUUACAGUGGGGACAAAGGGAGCAGCAAGGCAGGAACGCUGGAAACUGCCCUCACCAUCGAAGACGAUGGACACAAGCUGCAUCUGGAAAUACUAAAUUAACCUAAUGUGGUUGGGUAGGAAGAAAGAGGACUAGAAUAUGGAUUGCAUUGAUAUUGCUCUUAAGUUGUACACAGAACUGCUUCAUGUGUGUUGUGGUUUUGUUUUGUUUGCUUUUAAAGUUUUGCCCUAAGUUCAUGCUUGGAAGGACAGGAACCGUAUAGGAAGUAAUAAAUCAGAAGCUCCUAGAAGUUCACUUCUAACAGUACAGAGCUUUCAUACUUGAGAAAGCCACUAAGUUUCAAGUUAAUGAUGUCACUUGGCUGGCAAAGAAAAUUAAAGCCAUAGUAUGGUUCCAUGUUGUUUUUAAGCUGAGUCUUGAAAGUUAAUAGUAAGUAAGUCAUACUGUUUAUUCACAUUGUAGGAAUUAAUUUCUGGUGUCGUAGGUAUCUUAAUCAUUAAAAAUAAUUACAAAUUUAAGAUGAUAGGCUGAAUUGACAAAGACUGCAAAUAGUCAUUUUGGGACAGUAGCUAAAUUGACAUUUGGAGUAGCAGCCCCACUCCCAACACCUCCCUCCAGUCGGAGAAAGGAGUCAGCAAGGUGAUUUAUGGAUCUGGGAACCUCUGGUUUUUACUGUCAUGGUACUUGCAGUUAAACUUUUUAAUUCCUUGUGUAAAUGCACAAGUUAGGAGGUAUGUUACAUAGCUUACCAAGAGCUUCCCAAAUGUACAUUUUGCCUGUCGCUCUCCCUGCCCCUCACCUUGCCUUCCGUAGCAACUGUCCGGGCGCCCGUUGCUCCAGGAGCUUUUCGGCUAAGAAGCCGCGCGUGGUCGUACGCCGUGGGAGCAGGUCUUUGAGCCCAGACGCCGAGAUCAUCCUGCGAAGCGCUGGGUGCCGCUCGGAAGAAGCGCGUUUCAGGGCACUGCGUGCAAACUUGUGUUAUCGAUGCUCCAAAGUAUAACUUAAAAAUGUGGACCCAGAUUCGUGCAAGUGUUCCAGAAGUCAAAGUGCGAACUUACGUACUGUGGGAUUUUGGAUUGAUUCAUAUUUGGAUGGGAUAGACACAUGAAAUAUGGACCUACUCCACAUUUAUAAGAGUAUAGUGAAUAUUUAUAUUUUAGAGGAAAAGAAUAUAUUUAAUAAAAAGUCAUUUAUUGGAGUUUUGUGAGGUAAGCUUACUUUCUACCCAAACAAGUUGUUUUGGGGCUGGGGAAAAUACAUUUUAAACAUUGAUCAUUCCAUCUGAAUUCAACUACUUAAUUAUCUGGUUUAUCGUAUCAACGAGGUGACUUUUUAAAAAUCAGUUUUAAAAAAACAAAGUAUUAAUAUACUUUCAACGUUGCCUUGGUGCUUUUUAUUAAGCUCGGCGUCGGUAGGAUAGUGGCGCUUUUGGUGACAGUCUCAAAGCACACGUGAGCAGCAUCGGUUUUGCUGCGGGCGUUUAGUGAAGGCCGAGCGGUCGUUCUGGGCAAGGGCGCUCAGCCCCAGCUGCCGAGGUUACGGACCUUCCCCGGUGCGGGUACUUACAGGGUGGUUACAGCAUGCGCAGAAGAAACAGAAACUUCUGCUCAAGCCUCGGCGUUCAAGGAGCACGCGUACGCCUCGCUGCUUCUCCUAGACAUCCAUGGAAGAAAAAGCCUCGCUGCCUCAAUCCCUGCUGCGGUGCCCCAAACGGAAAGGUUAACCGCGGGCCUGCGAGCCUCUUCGUUCGCUCCUACCCGAGCUAUAGCAGACCACGGAAAUCCUACCCAGGGGUAAUUUUAGAGUUUCGCUCUUUUCACGAGGUGCUGCCUGUAAACUGAAUAUUCUGAUCAGAAAGUCCAUAUCGAAGCCUCACCUUUCGAAAGAUUUGGGUACGUAUGGGAACAUACAUGUUACUGGAAAUGUGUGCUAUGAGUUGUUUGUUAAAACAUAAAACAAAGCUGGUCUGAUGUGUUCAGGGAAGCAUACCGGUGUUUUGUAAGAGUCCACGCUUUAAGAAUUACAGUAUGUAUGUAUUAAAAACAAAAAAACAAAAACCA